CGCACACCAUUUCAACGAAAUAUUUAACGCUAGUGAACCCUGUGUUUUGUUUUCUAUUGUGUCAGCAUCACCCUCUUCUCGGAAUUGGAUUUUUAACAUUGCAAUAAACUUUAUUACUGGCGGUUCAAGGAAGUUUUGUAAGCAAUGGCUGAUGGUGAGGAUAUUGAAAGUUCCAUGGACAAACAAUUCAACGAUAAUGACGGAGGUAACCGGAUAAAAUGUUUACGUUGAAGAAGUGGAAUGCUGUGGCUAUGUGGAGCUGGGAUGUUGAGUGCGACACUUGCGCUAUUUGCAGAGUUCAAGUUAUGGCUGAGUGACCACCCUUUCUACUGUUAUUGUAUGUUAUACAUACAGUUUUUAAUACAUUAUCCGGAAUCAGUUCAAAGAAUUGUGUUAAUAGUAAAUUGUACAUUGUGCCUUGCUGUUAAGAAGAGCUCCACUUGAAUUAUCCACUUGAAUAUUUUGCAAAGAACGUAUAAUAUUUUAUUUUAGACGUUUUCGAUACUUGUCGAGUUUCUGGAAACUCUUUAAAAUUUAUACUCUGUUUCAGAAAGUGCCUUUCUUUAAUUAAUAUAAUAUUAUUCGAAUUUUGUACAACUGGGUACCGUAUAUUAUUAUUCUUUAUUUUAAACGGCUUAAUUGUUUUUCAAUAACGGAGAGUAACUUCGGUGUGCAUUUUUCACUUAAUUGAAUUCAGUAUACAUAUGAAUAUUCUCCUACCCUAUUUAAUUUCCUCAAGGCUCAAACAUAAACCUUUAAACUGCAGAAGAUCACUUAACUGAUGUGUAUACUUUCACAGCAACUGUUUUUUCCUGCGUUUCUGCAAUAUAUUGUAUUUAGUAUGAGAAAAUAUAAUUCAAUCUGUAGACAGUUUAAAAUCAUAAUUUUACCAACUAACUGUUUCAGAUAAGUUUCAGAAACGUUUCGUUUAAUAACUGGCAAUUUAUGUUUAUGCUUUAGGCACGAUUCCGAUUACUUUGGCGGAGGGGUAAAAAAACUGAAUUUCCGUAUAAAUGGGGUAUGUGCGGAUAGGGGAGCUUCUCCAGAGAAGAAAUAGCCAAAAAUAAUAUAAAAAUAACUUUUAUUUUUUAAAAUAUUCACGAUUAAAAGUUCAAAAAUUUGCACUAAUAACACAUGGUA